rnacentral:rRNA from 1 species
UACGGGGGGAGCAAACGUUUGUUCGGAAUUACUGGGCGUAAAGGGCGCGUAGGCGGUCCUGUAAGUGGUGUGUGAAAUCCGAUGGCUCAACCAUCGAGCUGCGCUCCAUACUGCAGGACUUGAGUACAGCAGAGGAAAGUGGAAUUCCCGGUGUAGCGGUGAAAUGCGUAGAGAUCGGGAGGAACAUCAGUGGCGAAGGCGGCCAUCUGGAUCAACACUGACGCUGAGGCACGAAAAGCGUGGGGGAGCAAA